rnacentral:rRNA from 1 species
AACGCGAAGAACCUUACCUGGGCUCGAAGUGCUGGUGACCGGGGUGGAAACAUCCUUUUUUCGCAAGAAACGCCAGUAUAGGUGCUGCAUGGCUGUCGUCAGCUCGUGUCGUGAGAUGUUGGGUUAAGUCCCGCAACGAGCGCAACCCUUAUCCCUAGUUGCCACCCGCGCAAGCGGAGCACUCUAGAGAAACCGCCUCGGAUAACGGGGAGGAAGGUGGGGAUGAUGUCAAGUCCUCAUGGCCUUUAUGUCCAGGGCUACACACGUGCUACAAUGGUCGGUACAGACCGUCGCAAACCCGCGAGGGGGAGCUAAUCGGAAAAAGCCGACCUCAGUUCGGAUCGCAGUCUGCAACCCGACUGCGUGAAGCUGGAAUCGCUAGUAAUCGCGGAUCAGAACGCCGCGGUGAAUACGUUCCCGGGCCUUGUACACACCGACUGUAC